rnacentral:tRNA from 1 species
GCCCACGUAGCUCAGAUGGUAGAGCGCAUCCUUGGUAAGGAUGAGGUCACCGGUUCAAUUCCGGUCGUGGGCU